GGACAGCCCACCAGGGUCUGCUUCUGUGAGGGGCCGAGGCGUCAUUCCGCGAAGCCUUCUCCUUGCUGUCGCCAUGUGAAGAAGGAUGUGUUUGCUUCCCCUUCUGCCAUGAUUGUAAGUUUCCUGAAGCCUCUCCAGCCAUGCCAAACUGCUGAACUGUGGCUCCACCAAAUUCAUAAUUUGAAGUCCCAACCCCUAGUAUCUCAGGAUGUAACUAUUUAAAGAUAAGGUGUGUACAGAGGUGGUUAUGCUAAAGUAAAGCUGCUAGGAUGGGGGGCUCUAAUCCCGUAUGAAUAGUGUCCUUAUAAAAAGCCAUCAGGGGCCUGUCUGCACAGGGAAAGACCAUGUGAGGACACAGAAAACAGCCAUCUGCAAGAAAGGAGAGAGAUCUUAGAAGAAAACAGACCUGCCAGCACUGUAAUCUUCAACUG
rnacentral:antisense_RNA from 1 species